GGUUAAGUUAGAAAGGGCGCACGGUGGAUGCCUUGACACUAGGAGUCGAUGAAGGACGGGACUAACGCCGAUAUGCUUCGGGGAGCUGUAAGUAAGCUUUGAUCCGAAGAUUUCCGAAUGGGGAAACCCACCAUACGUAAUGGUAUGGUAUCCUUAUCUGAAUACAUAGGGUAAGGAAGACAGACCCAGGGAACUGAAACAUCUAAGUACCUGGAGGAAGAGAAAGCAAAUGCGAUUUCCUGAGUAGCGGCGAGCGAAACGGAACAUAGCCCAAACCAAGAGGCUUGCCUCUUGGGGUUGUAGGACAUUCUAUACGGAGUUACAAAGGAACGAGGUAGACGAAGCGACCUGGAAAGGUCCGUCGUAGAGGGUAACAACCCCGUAGUCGAAACUUCGUUCUCUCUUGAAUGUAUCCUGAGUACGGCGGAACACGUGAAAUUCCGUCGGAAUCUGGGAGGACCAUCUCCCAAGGCUAAAUACUCCCUAGUGAUCGAUAGUGAACCAGUACCGUGAGGGAAAGGUGAAAAGCACCCCGGAAGGGGAGUGAAAGAGAUCCUGAAACCGUGUGCCUACAAAUAGUCAGAGCCCGUUAACGGGUGAUGGCGUGCCUUUUGUAGAAUGAACCGGCGAGUUACGAUCCCGUGCGAGGUUAAGCUGAAGAGGCGGAGCCGCAGCGAAAGCGAGUCUGAAUAGGGCGUUUAGUACGUGGUCGUAGACCCGAAACCAGGUGAUCUACCCAUGUCCAGGGUGAAGUUCAGGUAACACUGAAUGGAGGCCCGAACCCACGCACGUUGAAAAGUGCGGGGAUGAGGUGUGGGUAGCGGAGAAAUUCCAAUCGAACCUGGAGAUAGCUGGUUCUCCCCGAAAUAGCUUUAGGGCUAGCCUUAAGUGUAAGAGUCUUGGAGGUAGAGCACUGAUUGGACUAGGGGUCCUCAUCGGAUUACCGAAUUCAGUCAAACUCCGAAUGCCAAUGACUUAUCCUUAGGAGUCAGACUGCGAGUGAUAAGAUCCGUAGUCAAAAGGGAAACAGCCCAGACCGCCAGCUAAGGUCCCAAAGUGUGUAUUAAGUGGAAAAGGAUGUGGAGUUGCUUAGACAACUAGGAUGUUGGCUUAGAAGCAGCCACCAUUUAAAGAGUGCGUAAUAGCUCACUAGUCGAGUGACUCUGCGCCGAAAAUGUACCGGGGCUAAAUACACCACCGAAGCUGCGGAUUGAUACCNNNNNNNNNNNNNNNNNNNNNNNNNNNNNNNNNNNNNNNNNNNNNNNNNNNNNNNNNNNNNNNNNNNNNNNNNNNNNNNNNNNNNNNNNNNNNNNNNNNNAAGGCUGAGCUGUGAUGGGGAAGCUCCUUAUGGAGCGAAGUCUUUGAUUCCCCGCUGCCAAGAAAAGCUUCUAGCGAGAUAAAAGGUGCCUGUACCGCAAACCGACACAGGUAGGCGAGGAGAGAAUCCUAAGGUGUGCGAGAGAACUCUGGUUAAGGAACUCGGCAAAAUGACCCCGUAACUUCGGGAGAAGGGGUGCUUUCUUAACGGAAAGCCGCAGUGAAUAGGCCCAAGCGACUGUUUAGCAAAAACACAGCUCUCUGCGAAGCCGUAAGGCGAAGUAUAGGGGGUGACACCUGCCCGGUGCUGGAAGGUUAAGGAGAGGGGUUAGCGUAAGCGAAGCUCUGAACUGAAGCCCCAGUAAACGGCGGCCGUAACUAUAACGGUCCUAAGGUAGCGAAAUUCCUUGUCGGGUAAGUUCCGACCCGCACGAAAGGUGUAACGAUUUGGGCACUGUCUCAACCAGAGACUCGGUGAAAUUAUAGUACCUGUGAAGAUGCAGGUUACCCGCGACAGGACGGAAAGACCCCGUGGAGCUUUACUGUAGCCUGAUAUUGAAUUUUGGUACAGUUUGUACAGGAUAGGCGGGAGCCAUUGAAACCGGAGCGCUAGCUUCGGUGGAGGCGCUGGUGGGAUACCGCCCUGACUGUAUUGAAAUUCUAACCUACGGGUCUUAUCGACCCGGGAGACAGUGUCAGGUGGGCAGUUUGACUGGGGCGGUCGCCUCCUAAAGUGUAACGGAGGCGCCCAAAGGUUCCCUCAGAAUGGUUGGAAAUCAUUCGUAGAGUGCAAAGGCAUAAGGGAGCUUGACUGCGAGACCUACAAGUCGAGCAGGGACGAAAGUCGGGCUUAGUGAUCCGGUGGUUCCGCAUGGAAGGGCCAUCGCUCAACGGAUAAAAGCUACCCCGGGGAUAACAGGCUUAUCUCCCCCAAGAGUCCACAUCGACGGGGAGGUUUGGCACCUCGAUGUCGGCUCAUCGCAUCCUGGGGCUGUAGUCGGUCCCAAGGGUUGGGCUGUUCGCCCAUUAAAGCGGUACGCGAGCUGGGUUCAGAACGUCGUGAGACAGUUCGGUCCCUAUCCGUCGUGGGCGUAGGAAAUUUGAGAGGAGCUGUCCUUAGUACGAGAGGACCGGGAUGGACGCACCGCUGGUGUACCAGUUGUUCUGCCAAGGGCAUAGCUGGGUAGCUAUGUGCGGAAGGGAUAAGUGCUGAAAGCAUCUAAGCAUGAAGCCCCCCUCAAGAUGAGAUUUCCCAUAGCGUAAGCUAGUAAGAUCCCUGAAAGAUGAUCAGGUUGAUAGGUUCGAGGUGGAAGCAUGGUGACAUGUGGAGCUGACGAAUACUAAUAGAUCGAGGACUUAACCAU
rnacentral:rRNA from 1 species